rnacentral:rRNA from 1 species
AACGAACGCUGGCGGCAUGCCUAACACAUGCAAGUCGAGCGAGACCUUCGGGUCUAGUGGCGCACGGGUGCGUAACGCGUGGGAACCUGCCCUUAGGUUCGGAAUAACUCCCCGAAAGGGGUGCUAAUACCGGAUAAUGUCUUCGGACCAAAGAUUUAUCGCCUUUGGAUGGGCCCGCGUUGGAUUAGCUAGUUGGUAGGGUAAAAGCCUACCAAGGCGACGAUCCAUAGCUGGUCUGAGAGGAUGAUCAGCCACACUGGGACUGAGACACGGCCCAGACUCGUACGGGGGGGAGGAGGGGGGAAUAUGGGAAAAGGGGGGAAAGCCUGAUCCAGCAAGGCCGGGGGGGGGAGGAAGGCCUUAGGGUUGUAAAGCUCUUUUACCCGGGAUGAUAAGGACAGUACCGGGGAAAAAAGCCCCGGCUAACUCCGU